UGGUGGAGUGAUUUGUCUGGUUAAUUCCGUUAACGAACGAGACCUCAACCUACUAACUAGUUUCGCCAAUGUUUAUUGGUGGGGACUUCUUAGAGGGACUAUCGGAUACCAAGCCGAUGGAGGUAUGAGGCAAUAACA
rnacentral:rRNA from 1 species